rnacentral:rRNA from 1 species
AUUGAACGCUGGCGGCAGGCCUAACACAUGCAAGUCGAACGAGUGGCGGACGGGUGAGUAAUGUCUGGUAAACUGCCUGAUGGAGGGGGAUACCUACUGGAAACGGUAGCUACUACCUCAUACCAGACGAUACUCCCAGAUGGGAUUAGGUUGUUGGUGGGGUAACGGCUCACCAAGGCGACGAUCCCUAGCUGGUCGGAGAGGAUGACCAGCCACACUGGAACGGAGACGCGGUCCAGACUCCUACGGGAGGCAGCAGUGGGGAAUAUUGCACAAUGGGCGCAAGCCUGAUGCAGCCAUGCCGCGUGUACGAAGAAGGCCUUCGGGUUGUAAAGUACUUUCAGCGGGGAGGCGUUACCCGCAGAAGAAGCACCGGCUAACUCCGUGCCAGCAGCCGCGGUAAUUC